rnacentral:rRNA from 1 species
UACAAAGGAAUUGACGGGGCCCGCACAAGCGGCGGAGCAUGCGGAUUAAUUCGACGCAACGCGAAGAACCUUACCAAGGCUUGACAUACACCGGUAACGCCCAGAGAUGGGUGCCCCUUUGUGGUCGGUGGACAGGUGGUGCAUGGUUGUCGUCAGCUCGUGUCGUGAGAUGUUGGGUUAAGUCCCGCAACGAGCGCAACCCUCGUCCUAUGUUGCCAGCGGGUCAUGCCGGGGACUCAUGGGAGACUGCCGGGGUCAACUCGGAGGAAGGUGGGGAUGACGUCAAAUCAUCAUGCCCCUUAUGUCUUGGGCUUCACGCAUGCUACAAUGGCCGGUACAAAGGGCUGCGAUACCGCGAGGUGGAGCGAAUCCCAGAAAGCCGGCCUCAGUUCGGAUUGGGGUCUGCAACUCGACCCCAUGAAGUCGGAGUCGCUAGUAAUCGCAGAUCAGCAACGCUGCGGUGAAUACGUUCCCGGGCCUU